rnacentral:rRNA from 1 species
CAGCAUGCUCCGCACCCAAUCCCCCGUCUCCCCAGGCCCCAGCCCCCACCGGACAAACCCUAGCCUCACAUCCCGCACUCCUCCCUCCUCCCUCCUCCUCCUUCCUCGUUAGCCGCCGCCGCCGCCGUUCUGCCUCCCUCCUUUCUGUCCUACAACCAUGCCGUCAGGAGGAAGCCGCCGUCCGUGGUGCCAUACCGCUGCUGGGGUGCUGCGCACGCUUUGUUCCCCACAGCCCCUCCCUCAUCCUCGGUCGUCACCGCCGCUGCCUGCUACUCCCCUCCACCACCGUUGCUGCUUCUGGGUCGAAUCUGGCGUUGGUGGGUCGGAGCUCGAGCUAGAGGCCGAGAUGGGGAAGGUCAAAAAAGGAGACCGGAUGGAGGUGCUCGAGGCCGAGGAAGCUGGAGAUGCACAACUAGCUUCACUGGGCAUCCGGUGGUUGGAGCACGGGGCAACGCUCCAGUUGCGAUGGGGUGGAGCUACGCAGGAGGGGAAGGAGGCUCGCGACAGGGAGCCGGGCCAGGGAGGAGGCAAAGUUUUUCCAUGGUUGUAAAUGGCAUAUUGGCGUUAUCAGGAGUUGUGGUUCUGGAUUUGUCCGCUGCUCUAUAGAUCUAUUAUUUAAAGAACUGAUGAUAUACAGUGAGUUACCUUGCACCAUUAUUUGGCCUUUCAAGCGCUUGAUUUGAAUUUUUUAAUGUAUUCAAAGUGUCCCUACUUCCUAACAAGCAACCCAUUUGUCAUAUGUAUGUGUUGUCAUCACAAAGUUGUUUUAUGCCCACCCGAAAAGCGCUCACCCAGCCAAUCACGUGGAGGUGUGCUUUGCAUUAUUAUCUUUAAUUGAAGUUCUAUUGUGUUGUCAUCAUAUUCAAAACUAUAGUUCUUUACUUGCAGCAUCUUGAAGUGAGCAAUAUUUUGAUGCUUAUUUCCUGAUGAUUUAAGAAGUUUCGUGCACUACCAAACUUAAUUUGAAAACACUAGCUUGUUUUGUAGGAAUUGUCUUUCUUUGCUUUGAACUUGUGAUUUAUGGCUGAUGUCAACUCCAGCUUUUUAGGUGCUUGUCAAGUAUGGGUGGAAAGCUUGACAAUUCGUUUUUAUCUCUAUGAUCUCCUCAUGACCACAACCAUAGUGCAGGAUGCUCCUGCCCAAGUUGUCGUUUAUCUUUGGGUAUUCCUUAAUGUUGGGGCUACUACAUAUCCAGAUCACUAGAUGAUACAAAGGUGUCUUCCCUUCCUUUGUUUAUAUUCCUUUAUGUUGGGGCUGGUGUUAGGUUUCACUGGAUCAAAUUUUAGCUGUUGUUUCUUAUGUUCUAGAGAAGCUAGAGGAGUAAUUAGUGUUCUCUGUUUUUCUAAUGAGUAUAUGUGUGGAACUAUGGGUGCAAACAAAUAGUAAAGGAGCAAUUAACUUUCUCUCUUUUUUGCAAGUAUAUGUGGAUGCGCAUAAAGUGUUGGUUGUCUGCUUAUAUCAAGUAUGGUCUGAUAUUUUGGUCAUAUCAGCCCCAGUAUUGAGCAUACCGACUAAUAUUCUGGUCAUAUUAGCCCCAAUAUUGAGCAUACCAGCUGAUAUUCUAGUCAUAUCACACUUUCUACAGUCUACACCAAAUCUGCGAGCACGAUAUCUGAUAUUUGAAUCUUGAAAUUACCAUUAGAAAGGCAAAGAGAUCUUGUAGAAAAAUAGGUUACAUGCUCAGGUAUAUCAUAUAUGGAGAAAAGGCACCUAUCAGCUGUAUUGGUUCUUUCGUAUUUUUGUGCAGUCCUUCUAUUAAUUUUUCUAACUUUCUGGAUUUAUAUUUGAGCAAGAUAAAUAUAUUCCAUCUCUAUCCCAGUACUGAAUCGAAGCUUCAUCAAAUCUAUCUGGGCGUUCAUUGCGUAAUACAAUGUUGAGAUUGAGAACAUUUUCAGAGGGGAACUUAAGAACUAGGAGGGUGCAGAUAAGUAAGAGUUGUUGGCAACAGCAACCUACACAUGUGGAAACAGUGGCUAUGGCGGUUCAAAGGGAAGUUGUGGCUGCUAGACAGCAACUCACAACUUAGUGGCGGCUCAAAGGACAUAUAAUCUAUUUCUUCUUGGAGCUAUCUACUAUAAUAUUAUGACUCGGUGCUAGCUGAAGCUUCUAUUUUCUCGCCUUUUGUGGUGGCGAUUAUUCCUUGGACUGCAGUAAUUCCAUUUGCUACUCCUCAUGUUGCAACCUUUUCCCGUAGAAUCAAAAGGAAUUAGAUGGAAGAAAUUGCAGGAGAGAAGGAAUGGUAUUGUCGGCUGACAUUCAAAAGCAGUCAAGAUGGUGAAGUUUAGAACGGAGGAGCUCCACGGAAUUAUGGAUAAAAAAUAUCCAUAACAUGUCUGUCAUUGCUCAUGUCGACCAUGGUAUGUGACGGAGCAGUGACAGUUGUCUCUAAUUGUCAAGUUUAUACGGUAGAAUCUUCUUGAUUGAUGAUUUUAUAGCCUUCUCUUAGUUGUACUGUAUUAAUUCUUAAAACUGGAUCAUUUAAAAUUAGUUAGAUUUAAUGAGUUGUUUCACUGUUUUCAAAUAAGUAGUUUAAGCCCUUAUUGUGUCCCGGAGCUUAUUCUUUCUGCCUUUUUAUGAUUGAUAUAUGCUCUAACAAGCUUAAAUGUAACUAUUGGCAUAUAAUCUCAUGGCUCAAAAUCUUAGUUGUUGAAUGUAUUAAAAUUUAUAAGAUAUGGAGUUUGCACUAUAUUUCAUCCUGCAGUAUUCCCAGUAACUGAAUAUUAAGAGCACCGACGAUCCCAGGUUGUACAUUCGGGAAAUGCUUUUAUCUUGCAGGCCAGUUUUACAUUUACUUCUUCGAUAAGGAGAUGACCAUGAAUAGAGUAUCAUGUUAUUUGCCUUGGCAUUACUGAUGUUGUGUUCAGAUUACUGAAAGAAGGAUUGGUACCCGCAAAGGAGUGAAGGGUAGAAAAUAUGUCCAUUGUCAUUGAAUUGGUGGGAUUGUCCCCAAGUUAGUGCUGCAGAUGUUUCUAUUUUAGAGCAAGAAGCCAAAUCAUGCUGUUCGUAAAUCUUGAAAAACUUGUUUGUUGUCACGUCUAUAUCUGUUGUAAACGUUUGUUCGUGAUGUGGUACUUGUCAAUCUUGGUUUGCCCUUCCUUUUCAAGUUUGCCUUAAAUUUCAGCAGACCAACAAGUCCUUGUGUCUUCAAUUGGUUUCUCAUUUCAUGUUUGCACUUGUAUUAUAGUAGAACAACAUGUCAUAAACAUGGCGUUCGGCAUUGUUUGUCCAGUUCCCUUCAAGAAAGAAGAGAUGGCUAUAGAGAGUGGCUCCAUCACUGAAGAGAUGAAAAAUUUUGUGCAAGGCAUUGUUUGUUAAGCUCCUUUUAAAAAUAAAGUAAUUAUGGUGCAUCUAGC